rnacentral:rRNA from 1 species
AUUGAACGCUGGCGGCAGGCUUAACACAUGCAAGUCGAGCGGGGUGAUGGUGCUUGCACUAUCACUUAGCGGCGGACGGUUGAGUAAUGCUUAGGAAUCUGCCUAUUAGUGGGGGACAACAUCUCGAAAGGGAUGCUAAUAGCGCAUACGUCCUACGGGAGAAAGCAGGGGAUCACUUGUGACCUUGCGCUAAUAGAUGAGCCUAAGUCGGAUUAGCUAGUUGGUGGGGUAAAGGCCUACCAAGGCGACGAUCUGUAGCGGGUCUGAGAGGAUGAUCCGCCACACUGGGACUGAGACACGGCCCAGACUCCUACGGGAGGCAGCAGUGGGGAAUAUUGGACAAUGGGGGGAACCCUGAUCCAGCCAUGCCGCGUGUGUGAAGAAGGCCUUAUGGUUGUAAAGCACUUUAAGCGAGGAGGAGGCUCUUUUGGUUAAUACCCAAGAUGAGUGGACGUUACUCGCAGAAUAAGCACCGGCUAACUCUGUGCCAGCCGCCGCCGUAA